rnacentral:rRNA from 1 species
AAGCUCUUUUGUAGGGGAAGAGGAAGGACGGUACCCUAAGAAGAAGCGUCGGCUAACUACGUGCCAGCAGCCGCGGUAAGACGUAUGACGCGAGCGUUAUCCGGAAUUACUGGGCGUUAAGGGCCAGCAGGCGGCUUGGUAAGUUGUGCGUGAAAGCCUCGUGCUCAACGCGAGGAAGCCGGACAAUACUGUCAAGCUAGAGGGCAUCAGAGGGGAGUGGAAUUCCCGGAGUAGCGGUAAAAUGCGCAGAUAUCGGGAGGAACACCGAUGGCGAAGGCAGCUCCCUGGGAUGCACCUGACGCUAAGAGGCGAAAGCUAGGGGAGCGAACAGGAUUAGAGACCCUGGUAGUCCUAGCUGUAAACGCUGGGUGCUAGGUGUGGGACGUAGAAGUUCCGUGCCGGAGCAAACGCGAUAAGCACCCCGCCUGGGAAUUACGGUCGCAAGGCUAAAACUCAAACGAAUUGACGGGGCCCCGCACAAGCAGCGGAGCGUGUGGUUCAAUUCGAUGCUACACGAAGAACCUUACCUGGGUUUGACAUGUACGUGGUACGAAGGCGAAAGCCUAAGGACCCUUCGGGGAGCGUACACAGGUGCUGCAUGGCUGUCGUCAGCUCGUGCCGUGAGGUGUCGGGUUAAGUCCCGUAACGAGCGCAACCCUUGCCCUUAGUUACAAGUGUCUAAGGGGACUGCCGGCGGGAAGCCGGAGGAAGGUGGGGAUGACGUCAAGUCAGCAUGGCCCUUAUGUCCAGGGCUACACACACGCUACAAUGGUCAGUACAAAGGGUAGCGAAGUCGCGAGGCGGAGCGAAUCUCAACAAAGCUGAUCGUAGUUCGGAUUGCAGGCUGCAACCCGCCUGCAUGAAGCUGGAGUUGCUAGUAACCGCGCGUCAGCCAUAGUGCGGUGAAUACGUACCCAGGGCUUGUACACACCGCCCGUCACGUCAUGGGAGUCGGUAACGCCUGAAGCCGGUAGUCUGGCCCGCAAGGGGGGACGCUGUCGAAG